rnacentral:pre_miRNA from 1 species
UUUGUAGUCUCAACCAUCGUCACAAUGACAACAAAAUGACAAAACGACUUUGCUUUUGUCGUUUUGUUGUCAUUGUGACGAUGGUUGAGAAUAUAAAU